AGCCCAUUUAUUUCUUCCUCCAGUACUGAAGAGGCAAAAUACAGCAUGAGGAUAAGGUCAUGGCUCUAAAGACCAGUAGUUUGCAUUCUAAAUAUUUUACUUAAUGGAUGUGUGGCCUGAAACAAAUUCCUUAAGAUCUCUGAUAUGUGUUUCUCAUCUACAAAUAGUUCAUAAGCCAUUUGACACCAGUCUCUGGGCUUGGAAUGUGACACUGGACAGCAGUGCAGCUAAACUCCUAUAUGACAAUAAGGAGCCAGCUAUGGGAGCACAACAUGGAGGACGAAGAACAUGGAGGUGGAAGGAGCAUUGUGUCUGAGGCAGGAGGCAGAUACAAUCUUGUGUUGUUCAGGGGAAAAGCAUGUGUGCAUUUGGCAUCCUCAAAAGCAGGGCUCAUACCCUGGGAACACACACGGCUACCCUUUUUAUUCUGGAGACACACAGGGACAAGCUUUUUACCCUGAUUCUGGCUCCUUACCCAGUCUCCUCCUGGUCUAACCAGCUCAUGGAUCUAGCUACCAUCUCCAGCUGACAGGAGCCCCCACUUGUCGCCUAUAUUGACAGAUAUUUUGUUCUUAAUUUGUGUCUGCUUCAUCUGGAAACUUCCAGCAAAGAUUCUCAAGCAGCGAUCAUGUCACCUACUACAGACACCCAGGAAGGAAAUAAUAUUAACUGAGUAAGCAGAAAGUGCAAGCAAGUGACUUCCAAAAACUGUGAGUAAUGACAAAAACAUCUGACUUCCUGGAUAGUCACCCAAAGAUCCUCUACAACAUUGGGACAUUCAUCUUCAGCCUACUGGCCUAGCAUAUUCAACAUACUUUUCUGUGAAGCAGAA